rnacentral:rRNA from 1 species
UACGGAGGGUGCGAGCGUUGUCCGGAAUCACUGGGCGUAAAGGGCGCGUAGGCGGCGCGGGAAGUCCGUGGUGAAAGCCCGAGGCUCAACUUCGGGUCGGCCAUGGAUACUCCUGGGCUCGAGCACUGUAGAGGCAGGUGGAAUUCCGGGUGUAGCGGUGGAAUGCGUAGAGAUCCGGAAGGACACCGGUGGCGAAGGCGGCCUGCUGGGCAGUAGCUGACGCUGAGGCGCGACAGCGUGGGGAGCAAACAGG